CUUCGGUAUAGGUACUCCAAACGGUAUAACCUACAGUUUGUCACUUUGAGCUGAUGUGAAGUCAGAACACCCGCCGAAUUUAAGCAUAUUAAUAAGCGGAGGAAAAGAAACUAACCAGGAUUUCCUUAGUAGUGGCGAAUGAACAGGAACCUGACCAAUCUGAAAAUCCUUGCCUUUCAGGCACAGGAAUUGUGGUCUACAUAUUAGUUUCCCGGAAUUGUAGCUAGGUCUAAAUCAUUUUGAAAUAAUGUGUCACAGAGGGUUAUAACCCCGUGAGGCCUGGAGACAAGACUUACGGAGCUAUCUUGUGAGUCAUGUUGCUUGGGACUGCAGCAUAAAUGGGUGGUAGAGUCCAUCCAAGUCUAAAUAUUAUGGUGAGACCGAUAGCGAACAAGUACCGUGAGGGAAAGGUGAAAAGAACUUUGAAAAGAAUGUGAAAUAGUACGUGAAAUCGUUAGAGGAAAGCGAAUGGCUUCUCUUAAGGACCUGGCUUUGGUGCUGCCUAUAGUGAGUUCAAUUUCUUCGGAUCUUGCGACUCUCGCUGGCUCGACCUUUGUGAGGAUGGUUUAGAGUGUCUCAAUCUUUAUAGCUGGUCUGUCUGACGCUUUACUCACCGAGUGCUGUGUUUGGCUUUCUUGAUAUACUGGUUGUCUAUCUCCUACCUGAGGUCCUUUAACAGUUGUCAUCCGACCCGUCUUGAAACACGGACCAAGGAGUCUAACGUAUGUGCGAGUCUUUAGGUGGUAAACCUAUGGGCAUAGAGAAAUCGAUUGAAUGAUAACUUUUACGAGUUCCUCAUCAGCAGUGAUUGAUCCUUCGGGUGAAAAUCCUCGCUUGAGC
rnacentral:rRNA from 1 species